rnacentral:tRNA from 1 species
AGAGAGAUAGCUCAGUGGUUAAGAGCACUGGUUCCUCUUCCAGCGGAACUGGGUUCGAUUCCCAGCAUCUGUA